UACAGAGGGUGCGAGCGUUAAUCGGAAUUACUGGGCGUAAAGCGCACGUAGGCGGCUUGGUAUGUCGGGUGUGAAAUCCCCGGGCUCAACCUGGGAACUGCAUCCGAAACUGCCUUGCUAGAGUAUGGGAGAGGGAAGUGGAAUUUCCGGUGUAGCGGUGAAAUGCGUAGAUAUCGGAAGGAACAUCAGUGGCGAAGGCGACUUCCUGGACCAAUAUUGACGCUCAGGUGCGAAAGCGUGGGGAGCAAACAGG
rnacentral:rRNA from 1 species